rnacentral:tRNA from 1 species
UCCCGUUUAGCUCAGUUGGUAGAGCGCGUCACUAGUACCAUGUAAUUGGUCAAUGACGAGGUCAGUCGUUCGAGUCGGCUAAUGGGAA